AUGUGUAUGUAUAGGAAUACAUACAUGGCAAGAAGGGAUUUUACAAUACCUAGGACCUGCACAGGAAUGCUUGAUGAAAUGCUUUAUAAUAUUUUAGCACUGUUUUUCGGCAGUCCUUGUGGUAGGAAAGUGAUCCAUUCUUCGAAAACUCAUCUACUACUACUCACCAAAUCACAUCGUUCCAUAUAUGGACUAACUGAGAAUCUGGGAUUUUUCCAUCAAUCGCACUGCCUUUCCAUCCCCUCCAUCAACAAGCGAUCAAUCUUCCACAUCGCAAAAAAAAGAAGAGAGUCAAUCUUCCAAAUCACUUCAUUCCAUAUAUGGACUAACUUGGAAUCUGGGAUUCCAUCGAUCGCGCUGCCUACAUGCCCCUCCAACAAGCGAUCAAUCUCAGCACAGAAGGCUCUUUGUUUUCUUGACGCUCGUGGCUUUUGUAGCAAAUUCUAUUUGUUCUUCGCCACUUUGGGUUGUGGGGCUUACUUCCUAGCCCCGCCUGCUUGUUGUACCACCGCCCACUUUGUGGCUCUAGCGCCAGCGCCAGCCUGGGACAUCUCUCUAUCCGGGCCGGCAUACCGGGAUGUUGCAGGGCCGCCGUCACCUCGAGAAGGGGCGAGGAGUCCAUCGUAUGCCCAGUUGAUGUCCCUGGGUACUCACUGUGGCACGAAGAGUCCCUCACCGUUGUCCUCUUCGACCAGCAUAACAACGACAGGUCAGCCUGUGCAGACUACAAACUGA
rnacentral:rRNA from 1 species